rnacentral:tRNA from 1 species
AGUUUUAUAUUCAUGUAAUGAUUUUGAAUUGCAAAUUUGAAGGUGUAUUGUUAUACUAAGGCUU